CCGCCCGCACCUCGCACACGCCAAGUUCUGCAGCUCCCGCUGUUCGAAAACAGAGAGAAGAGCGAUGUUCACCGGCCGCCGGGAGUGGCGAGCCAGUGGCAUUUCAUUCAAAAAGGGGGUGAUUGGACUGACAACAGAACUCUGCUGAGAUCCCUUCUCCUGUGAUGUGUUCUGCUGUCACUGACAAUGAAAUGCAUGGCAUAAAGCAGUGCAGAGGCUGACGCUGUUUUCCUCCACUGGUUCUUCAUUAUGUGAUAUCCUUUUUUCUAGAGCUAAGGUAAUUAAAUAACAGCAAAAUCUACAAGGCUACAAAGGAACAUUGCUUUUUCAUUGCCAUAAAUUUCCAUUAAACAGAAAGAUUUAUGAUAUGCGCUGUUUGAAAA